rnacentral:lncRNA from 1 species
UUUCUUUUAUUUAUAAGAGUUGUUGUGGUCAUGGUGUCUCUUCACAGCACUAGAACACUAACUAAGACAGUGGGAGAGUCUACUAAUAAUCAAGUAAACUUAGGAUUCCUAGGACUAUUUUUUGAUUUUGUCUUUGGGUUGUUUUGUUUUGUCUUUAAGACAGAGUCCCUCUAAAUACCCCUGGCUGUCCUGGAACUCACUAUGUAGACUAAACUGGCCUGGAAGUUGAAGAGUGACUGACAACAUCCCAGGUGAAAAAUCAGAACUGAAAUUUAAAAGCUGACUUUGAAAGUUUGUUUACUCCUACAACAUACAAGUUAGUUUGGAAACACAGAAGAACAAGGAAGCACUCGUAUAAUCCUACUGAAAGGCAUGUCUCAACUACAUAUAAGUUAGAAGAUUUUAACUAUAUACAUUCCAAAUGGCCACAUGUGCCUAUGAACUUGACUUCAUGUACAAUAUAAAAUGGAGUGUCUCAGGCUUAAAGAAAAAGGAAGGACCCAGAAAAAAAAAAUCAUUUAUAAAAUUCAAACUAAAAACUCAAUAAACCAAGUUAACAGGUUAAGAAAAACAAAACAAAAACCUUACUAAACAAAUAAUUCUUUACUAGGAAAGAAAAAAUGUUCUUACUUACAAAACUGGUCAAUAGAAAAGGUGACUGGAGCAGAAAAGUCUACCAUAUUAUACUGCCUGACCCUGUUUGUUUCCUAAUUUGCUUUUUUAUAUUAAAUCAUGAUUGAAUUUGUAGAAAAAAACAUAGAGAUGGAAAAAUGGAGAAAACAUUAAAAUCAAAUUCUGAAUCAUCAUAUGAUUAUCAGCUUGCAUUUUUGUUCAUAACUACUAUAUGCCUUACAUUCACUGUGAUGAUUUUAAUGAGAGUAGCCCCUGUAUGCUCAUAUAUUUGAAUACUUGGUCUAUAGUAGGUGAGAUUGUUUGAGAAGAAUUAGUAGGUAUGACCUCUUGGAAGAGGUGUCACUGGAGCUGGGCUUUUGAGGUUUGAAAAACUCUCAGUUUCACUGUCUGCCUGCACCUUUCAGAUCAGAUGUGAGCACUUAAAUAUUGCUCUAGGCACCAUGCUUGCCUACACCAUAAUGGCCAUGGACUAAUGCUCCAAAACUGUAAACAUGACCCCAAUUAAAUGCUCCCCUUUAUAACCAGCCUUCAUCAUGGUGUUUCUUCACACAACAGUAACCCUAAGACGCUCAUUAUUCCUAUCAAUAUCUAUUAAUAAAAAUAUAGCAACAUAGGCCUGCAUACAUACAGAAACAUACAUUUAAUCACUUAAAGGUAUGUGAUUUAUCAGCUAUGAAACAUAAUUACAGAUUAUGGUAAGUAAACAGGAAAAAAUAAAAAGUAUUAUCAUGGAAGAAUACUAGCAAGAAUGGCUUACCACUUUUUCUCUGAAUAUGUCUUUUCCCAGCUUCCCUGAAAGCAACCACAGCUCUGAAAAAUGCUCGAAGAACUGCCCAUCGGAAAACAGCUACAGGAUCAAUGCCAGUCAUCCCAGAAACAAAAGCAUUCCUGCUACUUCUCAGAAGAGCCACAAUGUCUGGACGCAUAUGAUCUGUAUUUUUUUCCCGAAAAUCCUAUGAAAAAAGUACCAAUGUUAUUUCUGAAAAGGACUAUUAAAAUCAAGAAGAUAGUAGGUUUGAAUGGUGGGGGUGAAUAGAGAUUAUAGAACUGAAUUCUAUUCUGAGCUACCUGGGCCAAGUACCUUAUAAAAGACUGUAUCUUUCACAUAAUUUGUUCAAUUCAGCUUUCCACAGGCUACAAACCAAACAUUACCUGACAAGUUUAAACAUCUGAAUCAAAAUUACUGGGUAUAAAUAACUUUUUUUGUUUUUGUUUUUUGAGACAGGGUUUCUCUGUAUAGCGCUGGCUGUCCUAGAACUCACUUUGUAGACUAGGCUGGCCUCGAACUCAGAAAUCCGCCUGCCUCUGCCUCCUAAGUGCUGGGAUUAAAGGGUGCGUCACCACGCCCAGCUAUAAAUAACUUUUGAUUAACGUUUUAUCAACUAGACACUUUUCUUAUUGUGAAAUAUCCCUUUUUAUCUCCAGGAAUAGCUCUAGCUUCUUUAGUGAGUAUAUAAUUUCACCUUUUAAUCACCUUUUUUAGUUUCAAUCUACUCAAUAACAUACUUAAACAUCAGAGAAACAGGUGUGUGUAUACUAUAUGAUAAAUGUCCCUGCAAAUCUUGGGCAUAUUUGGCUCCCACUUGGUGAUGCUGUCUGGGUAGGUUCACCAGGUAUGGUCUUGCUGAAGCAAGCCAGCAGUAAUCAGGUUGUGAGUUUAAAGACUCACACCAUUUCUUGUUCCAACUCUCUGCUUUGUGCUUGCAGUUAAAAACAUGAGCAACUCAGUUUCACCUUCAGCCACCAUGCCUGCUGCUUCCCUACCAUGAUGGACUCUCUUACCCUUCUGGAAUGGUAAGCUAAAUAAACUUUUUCUUCU